rnacentral:rRNA from 1 species
AGAUACAAGAUCAACUAUGUCAAGAACCCAGUUAAACUAAAUAGCACCUGAUCCCAGUCUUCAGUUGGGGCGACCACGGGAGAAAAUAAAGCUCCCACGCGGACCGGGGCAACCUCCCCAAAACCAAGAGAAACACCUCUAAGUCACAGAAUUUCUGACCAAAAGAUCCGGCCACCCGCCGACCAGCGAACCAAGUUACCCUAGGGAUAACAGCGCAAUCCCCUUUCAGAGUUCAUAUCGACAAGGGGGUUUACGACCUCGAUGUUGGAUCAGGACAUCCUAAUGGUGCAGCCGCUAUUAAG